GAGAUAUAAUUGAAUAAUGGGCACGAUUUCCCCCAUACUGUUUUCCUGGUAGUGAAUAUGUCUCAUGAGAUCUGAUGGUUUUAUAAGGGGUUGUCCUUUUCACUUGGCUCUCAUUUUUUUCUCUUGCCUGCUGCCAUGUGAGAUGUGCCUUUCACCUUCCACCAUGAUUGUGAGGCCUCCCCAGCCAUGUGGAGUCUUGGGUCCUGGGUUCUUGUCCUGCGUCUAAGAAGAAUGAGGUUACACUGACAGCUGAAGGGUGAGCAAGGCGAAGAGUUUUAUUGAGUGACAGUUCUCAGCAGAGAGGGGACUUAAAGA
rnacentral:lncRNA from 1 species